rnacentral:misc_RNA from 1 species
AGUUAAACAGUACGUGAAAUUGUUGAAAGGGAAACGAUUGAAGCCAGUCGUACCUUCGGGUAAUCAGCCUUUCGGGUGCGAUUAUGUGGAGUGUGAGGAGCUUAAACACCUUCAUGUUUUGCAUAUUCGUACUCUUGGGUGUACUUGCCCGUGUGGUUGGUUAACAUCAAUUUUGGUGGUCAUAAAAUGACUGGGGGAAUGUAGCUUCGAUCUUGUAUUGAAGUGUUAUAGCCUUCGGUAGAUGUGAUGAUCGAGAUUGAGGAUUGCAACGGAUACCCUUCGGGGCUACCUGUCUGGUCUCUGAUCGUUGCUCUGGUGCCGAAAGCUUGCUUACGGUUAUCAAAGUCGAUGGUCAAUAGGUUAGAACGGGUUAAAUUCGUUAAGGAUGUUGACGUAAUGGCUUUAAA